GGUUAAGCGACUAAGCGUACACGGUGGAUGCCCUGGCAGUCAGAGGCGAUGAAGGACGUGCUAAUCUGCGAUAAGCGUCGGUAAGGUGAUAUGAACCGUUAUAACCGGCGAUUUCCGAAUGGGGAAACCCAGUGUGAUUCGUCACACUAUCAUUAACUGAAUCCAUAGGUUAAUGAGGCGAACCGGGGGAACUGAAACAUCUAAGUACCCCGAGGAAAAGAAAUCAACCGAGAUUCCCCCAGUAGCGGCGAGCGAACGGGGAGCAGCCCAGAGCCUGAAUCAGUGUGUGUGUUAGUGGAAGCGUCUGGAAAGGCGCGCGAUACAGGGUGACAGCCCCGUACACAAAAAUGCACAUGCUGUGAGCUCGAUGAGUAGGGCGGGACACGUGGUAUCCUGUCUGAAUAUGGGGGGACCAUCCUCCAAGGCUAAAUACUCCUGACUGACCGAUAGUGAACCAGUACCGUGAGGGAAAGGCGAAAAGAACCCCGGCGAGGGGAGUGAAAAAGAACCUGAAACCGUGUACGUACAAGCAGUGGGAGCACGCUUAGGCGUGUGACUGCGUACCUUUUGUAUAAUGGGUCAGCGACUUAUAUUCUGUAGCAAGGUUAACCGAAUAGGGGAGCCGAAGGGAAACCGAGUCUUAACUGGGCGUUAAGUUGCAGGGUAUAGACCCGAAACCCGGUGAUCUAGCCAUGGGCAGGUUGAAGGUUGGGUAACACUAACUGGAGGACCGAACCGACUAAUGUUGAAAAAUUAGCGGAUGACUUGUGGCUGGGGGUGAAAGGCCAAUCAAACCGGGAGAUAGCUGGUUCUCCCCGAAAGCUAUUUAGGUAGCGCCUCGUGAAUUCAUCUCCGGGGGUAGAGCACUGUUUCGGCAAGGGGGUCAUCCCGACUUACCAACCCGAUGCAAACUGCGAAUACCGGAGAAUGUUAUCACGGGAGACACACGGCGGGUGCUAACGUCCGUCGUGAAGAGGGAAACAACCCAGACCGCCAGCUAAGGUCCCAAAGUCAUGGUUAAGUGGGAAACGAUGUGGGAAGGCCCAGACAGCCAGGAUGUUGGCUUAGAAGCAGCCAUCAUUUAAAGAAAGCGUAAUAGCUCACUGGUCGAGUCGGCCUGCGCGGAAGAUGUAACGGGGCUAAACCAUGCACCGAAGCUGCGGCAGCGACGCUGAUGCGUUGUUGGGUAGGGGAGCGUUCUGUAAGCCUGCGAAGGUGUGCUGUGAGGCAUGCUGGAGGUAUCAGAAGUGCGAAUGCUGACAUAAGUAACGAUAAAGCGGGUGAAAAGCCCGCUCGCCGGAAGACCAAGGGUUCCUGUCCAACGUUAAUCGGGGCAGGGUGAGUCGACCCCUAAGGCGAGGCCGAAAGGCGUAGUCGAUGGGAAACAGGUUAAUAUUCCUGUACUUGGUGUUACUGCGAAGGGGGACGGAGAAGGCUAUGUUGGCCGGGCGACGGUUGUCCCGGUUUAAGCGUGUAGGCUGGUUUUCCAGGCAAAUCCGGAAAAUCAAGGCUGAGGCGUGAUGACGAGGCACUACGGUGCUGAAGCAACAAAUGCCCUGCUUCCAGGAAAAGCCUCUAAGCAUCAGGUAACAUCAAAUCGUACCCCAAACCGACACAGGUGGUCAGGUAGAGAAUACCAAGGCGCUUGAGAGAACUCGGGUGAAGGAACUAGGCAAAAUGGUGCCGUAACUUCGGGAGAAGGCACGCUGAUAUGUAGGUGAAGCGACUUGCUCGUGGAGCUGAAAUCAGUCGAAGAUACCAGCUGGCUGCAACUGUUUAUUAAAAACACAGCACUGUGCAAACACGAAAGUGGACGUAUACGGUGUGACGCCUGCCCGGUGCCGGAAGGUUAAUUGAUGGGGUUAGCGCAAGCGAAGCUCUUGAUCGAAGCCCCGGUAAACGGCGGCCGUAACUAUAACGGUCCUAAGGUAGCGAAAUUCCUUGUCGGGUAAGUUCCGACCUGCACGAAUGGCGUAAUGAUGGCCAGGCUGUCUCCACCCGAGACUCAGUGAAAUUGAACUCGCUGUGAAGAUGCAGUGUACCCGCGGCAAGACGGAAAGACCCCGUGAACCUUUACUAUAGCUUGACACUGAACAUUGAGCCUUGAUGUGUAGGAUAGGUGGGAGGCUUUGAAGUGUGGACGCCAGUCUGCAUGGAGCCGGCCUUGAAAUACCACCCUUUAAUGUUUGAUGUUCUAACGUUGACCCGUAAUCCGGGUUGCGGACAGUGUCUGGUGGGUAGUUUGACUGGGGCGGUCUCCUCCUAAAGAGUAACGGAGGAGCACGAAGGUUGGCUAAUCCUGGUCGGACAUCAGGAGGUUAGUGCAAUGGCAUAAGCCAGCUUGACUGCGAGCGUGACGGCGCGAGCAGGUGCGAAAGCAGGUCAUAGUGAUCCGGUGGUUCUGAAUGGAAGGGCCAUCGCUCAACGGAUAAAAGGUACUCCGGGGAUAACAGGCUGAUACCGCCCAAGAGUUCAUAUCGACGGCGGUGUUUGGCACCUCGAUGUCGGCUCAUCACAUCCUGGGGCUGAAGUAGGUCCCAAGGGUAUGGCUGUUCGCCAUUUAAAGUGGUACGCGAGCUGGGUUUAGAACGUCGUGAGACAGUUCGGUCCCUAUCUGCCGUGGGCGCUGGAGAACUGAGGGGGGCUGCUCCUAGUACGAGAGGACCGGAGUGGACGCAUCACUGGUGUUCGGGUUGUCAUGCCAAUGGCACUGCCCGGUAGCUAAAUGCGGAAGAGAUAAGUGCUGAAAGCAUCUAAGCACGAAACUUGCCCCGAGAUGAGUUCUCCCUGACUCCUUGAGAGUCCUGAAGGAACGUUGAAGACGACGACGUUGAUAGGCCGGGUGUGUAAGCGCAGCGAUGCGUUGAGCUAACCGGUACUAAUGAACCGUGAGGCUUAACCUUAC
rnacentral:rRNA from 1 species